rnacentral:tRNA from 1 species
AAGGGAGACCUAAUUCAGGUAGGAGACGAAAAAAAAGUAGUCGCUACCAAGAAUCAAUCCCAAAAGGUCGGAGCGAGGCGAAAUUGGCUUUCAAACUAGGUUCUGGGUUCAAACAAGACCUGAAUCAGGAACAAGGGCUAUUAGCUCAGGUGGUUAGAGCGCACCCCUGAUAAGGGUGAGGUCCCUGGUUCGAGUCCAGGAUGGCCCACCUGCACAGGUGGCAAAAACAAGAGAAGCGAGGAAUCAGCACCUUAUCUUACUUAUAUAGUAAGAGAGAAUGCUGGCUCUGAGUAAAGAGUCCAGAGGAACCUUGAAAACUGCAUAGAGCUAGGUGAAAAAGCCAAAAAAGAAGACCGCAAGGUCAAGCUAAUAAGGGCUAACGG